GAUGAACGCUGGCGGCGUGCCUAAUACAUGCAAGUCGAGCGAAUGGAUUGAGAGCUUGCUCUUAUGAAGUUAGCGGCGGACGGGCGAGUAACACGUGGGUAACCUGCCCAUGAGACUGGGAUAACUCCGGGAAACCGGGGCUAAUACCGGAUAACAUUUUGAACCGCAUGGUUCGAAAUUGAAAGGCGGCUUCGUCUGUCACUUAUGUAUGGACCCGCGUCGCAUUAGCUAGUCGGUGAGGUAACGGCUCACCAAGGCAACGAUGCGUAGCCGACCUGAGAGGGUGAUCGGCCACACUGGGACUGAGACACGGCCCAGACUCCUACGGGAGGCAGCAGUAGGGAAUCUUCCGCAAUGGACGAAAGUCUGACGGAGCAACGCCGCGUGAGUGAUGAAGGCUUUCGGGUCGUAAAACUCUGUUGUUAGGGAAGAACAAGUGCUAGUUGAAUAAGCUGGCACCUUGACGGUACCUAACCAGAAAGCCACGGCUAACUACGUGCCAGCCGCCGCGGUAA
rnacentral:rRNA from 1 species